UAUCUGGUAACAGCGUACUGCUGUGCUUAAUUGCGCGGUAGUUUCAGGAAGAGGAGACUCGACUUGAAGGUCGGGGAUAUUUUGGGGAGAAUGGAUUAAUCUCUGUUUUUCACGGGGUAACUCUGGCAAUGUUUUACCUAUUUUACUUUGAAAAAAUUAGAGUGAUCAAAGCAAGGCGUUUUUGCCUAUUGAAUAUUGCAGCAUGGGAUAAUAGAAAAAGAUAGUCCGUCUUAUUUUGUUGGUUUUUUAAGAUGACAAUAAUGAUAGAAGGGGAUGGUUGGGGCGGUCUGUAUUGCCACGUCAGAGGUGAAAUUCUUAGAUUGUGGCAAGACAAACAACUGCGAAAGCAUUCCGCUAGGACAUAUUCAUCAAUCAAGAACGAAAGUUGGGGGAUCGAAGACGAUCAGAUACCGUCGUAGUCUCAACCAUAAACAAUGCCGACCAAGGAUUGGAGAUUGUUAAAUUUUAAUGACUUCCCCAGCACUUUGCGAGAAAUCACAAGUCUUUGGGUUCCGGGGGGAGUAUGGUCGCAAGGCUGAAACUUAAAGGAAUUGACGGAAGGGCACCACCAGGCGUGGAACUUGCGGCUUAAUUUGACCCAACACGGGAAAACUUACCAGGUCCAGACAGCGUUAGGAUUGACAGAUUGAGAGCUCUUUCAUGAUUCGUUGGGUGGUGGUGCAUGGCUGUUCUUAGUUGGUGGUGUGAAUUGUCUGGUUGAUUCCGUUAACGAACGAGACCUUGACUUACUAAAUAGCAGCUGGAAGAUAUUGCAUUAAGGCUAUGGAUCGGUAUUUUCGGAAGGGUCAGUCCCCCGGAGAUAGUUGUUUCCAUGGUUGCUUUUUUUCCAGAAAGCUUCUUAGAGGGACUAUUAGUGACAAGCUAAUGGAAGUUCGAGGCAAAAACAGGUCUGUGAUGCCCUUCGAUGUUCUGGGCCGCACGCGUGUUACACUGAUAAAGUCAACGAGUUUAGAACCUUCUCUGAGAGGAGUGGGUAAUCUUUUCAAACUUUAUCGUGAUGGGGAUAGAUGAUUGCAAUUAUUCAUCUUCAACGAGGAAUGCCUAGUAAGCGCGAUUCAUCAUAUCGCGUUGACUGCGUCCCUGCCCUUUGUACACACCGCCCGUCGCUCCUACCGAUUGAAUGCUCCGGUGAAAUCUUCGGAUUGUGAGAAGCUAACUUUUGCUGACUUUGUCGGCAAAGACUCUUGUAAAAAGUUGAUUAGAUCUCAGCAUUU
rnacentral:rRNA from 1 species